AUGUGGUCUUGCCCACAUUUUCCACUUACAGGCUAUUUACAGGUAAUUCUUACAUUGACACUUCUCUCACUUUACAGCAUAACACUUCAUACGCAUUUCUCAAGUCGGGCUCCUUUUUCUUCGAUAUCAUUUGCAUUCAUGGAAAAAAUUUCAACAUCUUUUGCAGACGUGAAAUCAGAGCAGACUCAGGGACACACACGGCUUGGCAUAAGACUUGGUAUUCUAAUCAGAAAACAAACAACUAAACAGACAAUUUUUGCGACCUGUCUGAACAAAGGCAAAGAAACCCAUCUAUAUUCUCAGAAGGACAGAUUAAAGGCUUGUUACAGACGUCUCCUUUGUUCCCAUGCAGUCUGGCCUGUGAUUGCUCUCGCUCUCUCUUCUUCUCACUGUUUCCAUGCUCUUUCAGAACUGAGAGGCUUGUGGAAAUUGCUCCUGUGGGUACCGUUUCACUCUUCUACUGUUAGGUGUUAGUGCUGGAAACAGAGACAGUAACUGAGCUUGUUUAAAAGCACAGAAGAAAGAAAAAAAGUUGAAUAAACCUUUGCUUUACAUUUGUAUAUUUCA
ensembl:lncRNA